GCUGGGAAUAUAGCUCAGUUGGUAGAGUGCUUGUCUUGCAUGCACAAGGCCCUGGGUUCAAUCCCCAGCACAGCA
rnacentral:tRNA from 1 species